CACGUAGGGGGCAAGCGUUGUCCGGAUUUAUUGGGCGUAAAGAGCUCGUAGGCGGCUCAGUAAGUCAGGUGUGAAACCUCCAGGCUCAACCUCGAGACGCCGGUGGAAACCAUCUAGCUAGAGUCCGGAAGAGGAGAGUGGAAUUCCUGGUGUAGCGGUGAAAUGCGCAGAUAUCAGGAAGAACACCCGUGGCGAAGGCGGCUCUCUGGUACGUGACUGACGCUGAGACGCGAAAGCGUGGGGAGCGAACAGG
rnacentral:rRNA from 1 species